rnacentral:ncRNA from 1 species
UUGGAAGAACAUUAGAAAAUCUUUGUAUACUUGUCCAUCAUCAGUGAUGUUCUGCCACGGAUGGCAGAACAAGGCUUCACGAGCCAUGGAAGGCUCGUUGAAUGCCGGUCACGUCACUCUAAGAUUACUUUUUCAAGCAUACUUAGAUUUUCUUAUGUUCGUAC